rnacentral:lncRNA from 1 species
AAGACACAGGACGAGCAGAUCUGAAAGAGAUGGAGACUAGCACUCUCAGUAAGAACUCUCAGAUGGAAAGGAAAUGAGGCCAGCCAUGGCAGGCAGGAUCUCCAAACAGGACAAGACCAAAAUCCAGGAAAGCCUCCCAUGUCCCCACUCUCAGUGAAAUCAGAACAGCUGAACUGCUUUUUCUGCUAAAAAAAAAAAAAAAAAUCAACUAGUAGAGUAAGUCUGAAAACAGAUCCAGAAUGGAAAAGCAGUGUGAAGCACUACAUGGCUAUUGUGAACAUACCCCCCCCCCCCGCUAGUCAACUUGGAUCUCAAUGAACUAUGAGCAACCUGUGUGUUUUAAUUUUGCUUUUAACUUUAUGUUAUCUGUAUAGAUUUUUUGCCUGCUGGUGUGUCAGAACACACAUGUAUCCAGUGUCCACAGAGUCCAGAGGGGGCGUGGGAUCUUCCAGCUCUGAAGUUACACAAAAUCGUUAGCUACCAAGUAGGUGCUGAGACUAGAACCCAGGUCCUUGGGAAAAGAAGCUAAUACCCGUAACCACUGAGCCACCUCUCCAGCCCCAAGAAAGAGCAAUUUUUUAAACAUUAAAUAUUUUGUGACUGCUUUUUUUACUCACUUCAAAGCUUCCUCAAAUUUAUGGAUCUUCCUCUGAGCAUCUUCCUUCUCUUUAUCAAGUUCACUCUGCAGUUCAUGAACCUACAUGAAAGAAUUCGUGAAAUUAACUGGAAGAUAAGGAUACUCAAAAAUACCAAAAGUACCAACAACAAUCUCAAAUCUGUUGUGAUAUGAAUUCAGAAAUACGUAUUUCAUGAUAGAAAGUUGCUUAUCCAUAGAAUAAUUUCAAUAUUCUACUCCCAAUAUUAAUUUUCAGUUCAACACUAGUAAUUAGAUUGUUUUUAAAAAGACUUGGUAUACAUCAACUUCACAAAGCACCAAUCACUUUGACAAAGGAAAGAAAUUCCACAUGCUUGAGAAGACUAGGAUAAAUACUGUGUCUGCAUUGACCAGCUAUAGAGCAGCUAUUAUAAAAUCUUCCUUCACUAAGCAUGAUUUGUGUAUCCAUUGAUCAAGUUUGGUGCAAACUCCUCCAUCCAGGUUGCCUCCUUCCUGCAUGUAGCAACCCUUGAAUGGGUGGAUGACGGCACCAACCACGAAAGCGAAGAAAAUGUUCUUCACAUAUCCAAAACUGCAGUAUGGACACUCAUGUGCACAUGAUGGCGAUCAUAAAAUAUGGAAAAGAAAUUUUGAACAGCUGGACAGAAAGGGAAAAGUGAAUGCCUUAUAUUUGUAGCCACACUGCUAGUAAGGCUGCAGAGCCUCCCUGAGGGUUAAGAAAGCACUCCACUUGGUAUGUGACAAACCACUUAGACCUGCUGGCCACCACCAUAGGACUGAAUAUGAAUCUGCUGAACAGUGAGGCAAGAAAGAAUGACAAGAAGCGCAUAUCACACACGCACACACAUGCACAUCACACACACACACACACACACACACACUCUAAAACCAUGCCACACACUGCAUCAGGACUAGGCAAAAGAAGAUUUUUAAAAAUAAGUUUGGUUGGACCUAAUUAAAAUCCCACAUAUUUUUGGCCUUUCUUUUUUAUAAUUAUUUUGCAUUUUUCCCUUUGUAUAAAGCAAAUAAAUUAGUAAAAUCAACAAUAUUCUUUUAAACUAGUAGUAAGGCUGGAGAGGCAAGUUUUCACGAUAAUAUCAAAAAGCCUUUCCAGUUUCUCAGCUGGCAAACCACUAAAUCAAGACAAAACUGGGAGGCAGAGAAGACAAUGCAUACUGAGGCGGUGACUGGCCAGGAGAAUGAGCAGACACAAGCCCCACUUCUUGGCACUGUAAUGAUCAACUUAUUAUAUGUCAUAAAUACUAUUUUCUUAUGAUGAGAAGGAUCAUCUCACCUUGAAAUUUUUUACUAAUAAAUUUAUUUUACUCUACGUAGGAAAAGCAGUCUUUUCACAAUUUACCAGGCUCAGACUUCAACUCCUAUCUUACUUCUUAUAGAUCCUUGAUAGGUAUUACUCUGCUUGGCAUAGUGUGAGAAUCUUAAAUUGGAAUAGAAACAAACUUUACUCAUUAUUUGGAGGCAGAAAGCAACUUUAUCUAGAAAGACAGGAUAAGUUUCAAUGGCCAUCUCCCUACUUCUCAAGUUAUUUAGCAUGUGUGUCUCAGUCCUCUCUACAAAUGGGAUGGUAAAGUGAAUUACUUCAGGCAAGGUUCUUGUGAAUACUAGAACAUAAAAAAAUUCUCAAUGUUAAACAUUACAGCUACAGAGUCAAAUAGAACACUAUAUGUAUCUCUCGAUUACAUAAGGUCAUUAUGAAUAACAGCCAUGAUAACAAUAUACAAGGCUGACUGCCCUUGCAGAAAGCAGCCCCUGGAUGCCAACCAUUCUGAGUUCUUGUAAGUGCUCUGUAUUGCUCACUACCCAAUCUUAGCUUGUUUCAAGAUUCAGUUCUACUACUUAGUGAAUUUAAGUAGUUAAUGAGUGGCACCUUAAUAAAAGUAAUUCUUUCUAAGAAUAUCUGUUUCAUUUCUGAAGGGGAGAGGGAACUCUCAGGGUGGGGAAGAAGGACUCCCCUCUAGUCAAGAAGGCAUGCACUGAUACACACUCUGGUUAGCUGUUUCUCACUUAUGCUGCUAAGUGCCCAGCAUCCCUGAACCACACUACAGCAGUCAUUAAGGGAUGUUCUGGGUUUGUUUCCUCUUGACAGAAUAUUUUAGUAUUGCAUGCUUGAGAUUCCUUUUAAAUUAUGGCUUUGUCUUGAUCUAUAUUUCAUAUAUUUGUCGGUAAUAUAUAAUUAAAUGCCAUGCAAGUAAUCAAUGCAUACUGAUUUUGAUGGAAGACUACAACUUAUUAUUUGUGUUUUAAUAUUAUAUAAAUUAUUUUUACAUAAAAGAUAAAUAAAAAACAACAAAAAGAUGAUGCUACUGCCU